rnacentral:sRNA from 1 species
GCCUAGCCCGGAUAGUAACGGUAUCCUUUUACACCUGUCAGGUUUUUAAAACCUGACAGGUGUAAAAGAUAUAGUGAAUAGCCGGAAAUAGC